GAUGAAGAACGCAGCAAACUGCGAUACUUGGUGUGAAUUGCAGAAUCCCGUGAACCAUCGAGUCUUUGAACGCAAGUUGCGCCCGAAGCCACUAGGCCGAGGGCACGCCUGCCUGGGCGUCACACGCCGUUGCCCCCCCAUCUACUCCUUCGGGAUUGCGGGGGGGCGGAUGAUGGCCUCCCGUGCGCCUAGCCGCGCGGUUGGCAUAAAUACCAAGUCCUCGGCGACGCACGCCACGACAAUCGGUGGUUGCGAAACCUCGGUUGCCCGUCGUGUGCGUUCGUCGCGCAUCGAGGGCUCGAAAAAAUGCUCGGCUCCGGCUGGGCUUUCAACGCGACCCCAGGUCAGGCGGGGUUACCCGCUGAAUUUAAGCAUAUCAAUAAGCGGAGGA
rnacentral:misc_RNA from 1 species